UCCAGAGUGGUGUAGUGGUUUGAGCACAGGACUUGGACUCUAGAGAUCAGGGUUCAAUUCCCCGCACAGCCA